AUUGCUUCUGUGAACAGGUGUCUUUUAUACAGGUAACAAGCUGAAAUUAGGAGCACUCCCUUUAAGAGAGUGCUCGUAAUCUCAGCUUGUUACCUGUAUAAAAGACACCUGGGAGCCAGACA
rnacentral:miRNA from 1 species